rnacentral:rRNA from 1 species
AUUGAACGCUGGCGGCAUGCCUAACACAUGCAAGUCGAGCGGAUGAAGGGAGCUUGCUCCUGGAUUCAGCGGCGGACGGGUGAGUAAUGCCUAGGAAUCUGCCUGGUAGUGGGGGAUAACGUCCGGAAACGGGCGCUAAUACCGCAUACGUCCUGAGGUAGAAAGUGGGGGAUCUUCGGACCUCACGCUAUCAGAUGAGCCUAGGUCGGAUUAGCUAGUUGGUGGGGUAAAGGCCUACCAAGGCGACGAUCCGUAACUGGUCUGAGAGGAUGAUCAGUCACACUGGAACUGAGACACGGUCCAGACUCCUACGGGAGGCAGCAGUGGGGAAUAUUGGACAAUGGGCGAAAGCCUGAUGCAGCCAUGCCGCGUGUGUGAAGAAGGUCUUCGGAUUGUAAAGCUCUUUAAGUUGGGAGGAAGAGCAGUAAGUUAAUACCUUGCUGUUUUGACGUUACCAACAGAAUAAGCACCGGCUAACUUCGUG